rnacentral:rRNA from 1 species
UACGUAGGAUGCGAGCGUUGUCCGGAAUUAUUGGGCGUAAAGCGAACGUAGGCGGUUUCUUAAGUUUGGGCUUAAAGACCGGGGCUCAACCCCGGGAAUGGCUCGAAAACUGGGAGACUGGAGGAUGUCAGAGGAAAGUGGAAUUCCGAGUGUAGCGGUGAAAUGCGUAGAUAUUCGGAGGAACACCAGUGGCGAAAGCGACUUUCUGGGACAUUCCUGACGCUGAGGUUCGAAAGCGCGGGGAGCAAACAGG